rnacentral:rRNA from 1 species
CACGUAGGGUGCGAGCGUUGUCCGGAAUUAUUGGGCGUAAAGAGCUCGUAGGCGGUGUGUCGCGUCGGCCGUGAAAACCUGCAGCUUAACUGUGGGCUUGCGGUCGAUACGGGCAUCACUGGAGUUCGGCAGGGGAGACUGGAAUUCCUGGUGUAGCGGUGAAAUGCGCAGAUAUCAGGAGGAACACCGGUGGCUAAGGCGGGUCUCUGGGCCGAUACUGACGCUGAGACGCGAAAGCGUGGGGAGCGAACAGG